CCCUUCUAAAACAUCUGUUACUUAAAACACAAAAAAUACUGCAAUUAUAUUAUAGAUCCUCAUUUAUCUAUCAAUUUGAAGGAUGAAAAAUUUAUAAAGUUUUAGGCUGCCAAUUAGUUCCUUAAUUAUGGUGAACAUGACAUAACAACAUAAUAAGUUUGACAAACAUAAUUCAAAAGGGCUAUCAGAUCACACUAUAUGCUAACAUGGCAAGCACCGCUAUAUUUACAACACACAAUUAAUUUAAUUACCAAGAUUUACAAAGAUUGCAGCAAAAAAGAUA
rnacentral:lncRNA from 1 species